UACGAAGGGGGCUAGCGUUGCUCGGAAUCACUGGGCGUAAAGGGUGCGUAGGCGGGUCUUUAAGUCAGGGGUGAAAUCCUGGAGCUCAACUCCAGAACUGCCUUUGAUACUGAAGAUCUUGAGUUCGGGAGAGGUGAGUGGAACUGCGAGUGUAGAGGUGAAAUUCGUAGAUAUUCGCAAGAACACCAGUGGCGAAGGCGGCUCACUGGCCCGGUACUGACGCUGGGGUGCGAAAGCGUGGGGAGCAAACAGG
rnacentral:rRNA from 1 species